rnacentral:tRNA from 1 species
AUUUCUCUAGUACUAAGUUAGUAUCAGUGACUUCCAAUCACCAGGUCUUGGUUAAAGUCCAAGGAGAAAUA